GGAGCUUGCUGAGCUAAGUAGGAGGUGGAAAUUGUAGAAAACACCAUGGGAUAAGGUGUAAAUUCGAGGAGAAGAAAGAGGAAAGGAGAAUCAAUGGGUUUUUUAUCAAAAUUGAGGUGUCUUCCUCAAUUAAUCCUCAUUAGAGCUCUUAGAGGUGAAAGAUUAAUCAGCAAGGAAUGUGAAAGAUGUAAAGAGAGAGCUGGCAGUCAGAAAUUGAAGAAGAAACAUGCAAUUCGGUGGGUUUGUAUCUAUAAAAGGGGAUCAUUUUGUGUGGAUAAAAAUUGAGGGAAAUGGGUCCAAAUCAUAGAGAGAGUUGAGAGGAAGGCUGAGGUGUGUUUCGAUUGAAGAAUCGGGCCCGAGAGAGUAGAGAAAAAGAAGAAAAACAAUGGCGUCGGAGUUAUUGCGAAAACAGGGGAGGCUCUCAGAUUUCGUCAAAUUCAUGGAGCUACAGACAAAAUAGAAGCCCGAAACUUGAAGCUCUUCGCCGAAAAUAGAGCAGCCGAGACAAAGAUUGAUUAAUUUCGAGCAUUUUGGGACAAAUCGGACGUCCAAACUUUGGGGUAAGUUAGUUCAAGUAAUGGGUAAGACAUUGGUAUAGGUUAAUUAGAGUGAGUAUGGUCGUAAAUGAAGAAUUUAGCCACUCAAAGUAGAAGGGAGAGAGCUGGCCGAAAAUGGGAUUGGAAAUGCUAGAGUUUGAAGAUGAAGUUGACCUUUUGAUGUUUGACCGUUUGACCAAUGUUUGACUUUUAAUUUUAUGGUUAAUUCAGGAUCCUUAAGUUCAA